rnacentral:rRNA from 1 species
UCCUACGGGAGGCAGCAGUGGGGAAUAUUGGACAAUGGGGGAAACCCUGAUCCAGCCAUGCCGCGUGUGUGAAGAAGGCCUUUUGGUUGUAAAGCACUUUAAGCAGUGAAGAAGACCUAACGGCUAAUACCCGUUAGCGAUGACAUUAGCUGCAGAAUAAGCACCGGCUAACUCUGUGCCAGCAGCCGCGGUAAU